rnacentral:lncRNA from 1 species
CGCGCGCUCCCACACUGCCUCCCCCCCCUUCCCCGGGGGGAAGGCCUUUUAAUUUAUUUAUUCUGCUGGGACUGAGGUGGGGGGCUUGGCUGACGGGGGAGAGGGGGGUCUCCACGGCUUCUAUCUCCCCCGCGGCUGGGGCUACCCUUCCAGCUACGGAAGACUCCACGGUGUGCGCCCCCAGGGCCUCCCAAACUGUUUCCAAACUGCCCAGGCCGGUGGUGGACGCGUGGAGUCUCGGCGAAAAGGGCUGGGUUUCGAGUGGGGGGUGAUCGUGUGUAUGACUACUAGAAGCCUGGAGGGGAGGCAGACGUCGACCCCAAACGAGUUUGCAAUCGAGGUAUCUCCGAUCCCGCUUCCUCUUUGGCCCGCACGCCCCCUCCCUCCCAGGAGCUGUGCUGGGGAAGGGAAACCAAGGUUUGGAACCACACUAGCCUUCACAUUCCUGGGAGGAUACAACCCUCGCCUGGACGGGGAAGAUAGCUCUUUCUCUUUAUUUUUUCGUUUUUAUUUUUUGCCUUUCUGUUUUUAUUUUUGGAGGGGAGCGCCCAGUAAUUGUCUUGAACACAUGCUUCUCCCUCCCUCCUUCCUCCAGCCACCAGCGACAGAGAGUCCCCUUUUUUGCAUUUAUCAUUUUCCUUCCCCUUUCUUUAUUAAAGGUCCGGGAGUGGCGGCGGCCAAUCAGCGCUCGGCUUCCAUUUUGUGAGUUCAACUCGUAGGCUUCCCCGGCUUUUCGCGUGGAUCUGGUUGCAGACGCCCUCGGUCUCUCUUCUCGGGCUGCCGAGGCGAAGCAGCCGCCUCGCCGGGGCUUCGUGGUGGUGUAUUUCAUAUUGGGGCUCUUUUCGGGGUUUGUAAUUUGGCCGUGGGUAGGUAAUUGGCUGGAGCAGGGCGGCAGGGUGCGGCAGCCAAUCAGCGCGCGGCUUCUAUAGGGCUUGAGUUAUUAGACGCUGAUCUCAAAACAUCCUUCAUCAGACUCCAAGGAGAGGCCAACAGAUGAGGGAGCCAUUUUUCUGCAAUGGAAUUAAAUGGCCAAAGCACUAAACAGCCCUCAGCGAAGCCGCCUUUUUGCCAGCCCAACCCUGGAAAGUUUGCAGUCGUGGAAGGAGCAGAAAUACCACGAGUGUAACUUACAAAGAAGGUCUUGGCCGGAGACCGGAGCCAUGUCUGUGUUAUCCCCACUGUAGACAAUCCUUGCUUCCUCUGGACAUCUGGAGCAGGCCCAAUUUGACUGAGAGCCUUCCCCCACUAAGGAAUUCCUGGACAAUGGAGAGUGCCCCAGGCCCCCUGAACAUCUUGCUGAUGAGGGAGUAAAGCCACCCUGGGUGGGUGUGAGUGCGCGCGCGCGCGCCUAUCUCCUCAGCUGGCCCGGCCCGACCUCUGAGGAGGCUCUCACCAGCAGCUGGCUAGAUUCCUGGUUAUUUUUAGUUACAGAUCCAGCCCCACCAUCACCACCAGAGUUGAGUCCAAAUCCAACACUCUAGGCCGGGUAGUGCUGGGACUUUGCCAGCCUCCUGCUGAGGUAGGGCUGGGUGAGUAGGCAGGCUGGAACGGGUGGGGUGGCCGUGUGCUGUCUGAACCCUCCCCAGAGCUGGUCGCUUUUGGUCAUUUCCUCCCUGCAGACUUGCUCUUCCUCCACACAGGUCUGGGGGAGUUUGUGGGAAGCCAGGAGCCCUCUCUUGGUUAUAUGUAGUAGAACAAGUUUUUUUUCUUAGAAGUGAAUUCUCCCCUUGGCAAACUGCAGCCAGCCAGCCUCCUGGGUCGAGAGCCAAGCCAAAAGAUGUCUGAGAGAAGAAACCUGGGGUCCUGCAAAGGUAAGUGGGUCCCAGCCCACUCUCAAUCCCCCUCUCUCUGUGUGAUUGCUAUUCCACACUGGAGUCACCUGCUCUGUGCUUCUGAGGAACCUCACCUCUGGCACAUCAAUGGAAAUUGUCCUUCCCUUUUUAUUUAUUUUUAUUUAUUUUUUAUUUUUUGCCACCCUCACUGGCCACUAAGAGAUAGCCCUAGCUCCUCCUCUCCUGCCUGGUUUUGACAGGACUCACUCCAUUGAGUCCUGUCUCGUCUCUUUGCAGCCCUCCUCCUCCCCCCCCCCCCCCUUCAGCCAGCACUUAGGCCCUCCCUGAUUUAGCCCGUUACCUUGACAACCACUUGGGCCUGUCUCCCUCAUCACCACUGAAAACCUGAAGGUGGUUUUCCAGCUGCGGUACAUUUGCCCAAGUUGGGCACCCCUCCAGCUUCUAUUGGCUCGCCCUCUAUACAGCUGUACCCAAUAUAACAAACACAACCUUCCUGGCCCCUCAGCUGUAGUCUCGAAAUUGAUCUCACUGGUCCCGGGAACUCCGUCAAUACUGCCUCCUCUAGACUGAGCUCCUCACAGGCAGGAACAUGGUUGUUUCUCAAUAAACAAGUUGCA